GAAAUGCGAUAAGUAAUGUGAAUUGCAGAAUUCAGUGAAUCAUCGAAUCUUUGAACGAACCUUGCGCUCCUUGUUAUUCCUUGGAGCAUGCCUGUUUGAGUAUCAUGAAAUCUUCAAAGUAAAUCUUUUGUUAACUCAAUUGGUUUCUACUUUGGUAUUGGAGGUCUUUGCAGCUUCACACCUGCUCCUCUUUGUUCAUUAGCUGGAUCUCAGUGUUAUGCUUGGUUCCACUCGGCGUGAUAAGUUAUCUAUCGCUGAGGACACUGUAAAAGGUGGCCAAGGUAAAUGCAGAUGAACCGCUUCUAAUAGUCCAUUGACUUGGACAAUACUUUUAUGAUCUGAUCUCAAAUCAGGUAGGACUACCCGCUGAACUUAAGC
rnacentral:misc_RNA from 1 species